GGAAGAGUACAGCUCAAGCGGUGGAGCACAUGAUUAGCAUGCAUGAGGCCCUGGGUUCAAUCCCCAGCACCUCCU
rnacentral:tRNA from 1 species